UACAGAGGGUGCAAGCGUUAAUCGGAAUUACUGGGCGUAAAGCGUGCGUAGUCGGUCAUUUAAGUCGGGUGUGAAAGCCCCGGGCUCAACCUGGGAAUUGCAUUCGAUACUGGAUAGCUAGAGUUCGGCAGAGGGAAGCGGAAUUUCCGGUGUAGCGGUGAAAUGCGUAGAUAUCGGAAGGAACAUCAGUGGCGAAAGCGGCUUCCUGGACCAGAACUGACGAUCAGGCACGAAAGCGUGGGGAGCAAACAGG
rnacentral:rRNA from 1 species